AUGAAAUGAAUGUCGAGAGGGGUUGUAGCUGGCCUUUUGGGGCAUGUGCACACCUUGAUCGCACAUCCACCUCUCACACCUGUGCACUAUGUGUAGCUUGGGAUGAUUACAAUGUUGGAAACAAUGUUGAAAGCCCUAGCUAUGAAUUUUUAUACACCCAUAUAUAUAAAGUUAUAGAAUGGAUAGCGUAUAAUAGCGCAAAUAUAUA
rnacentral:misc_RNA from 1 species